rnacentral:rRNA from 1 species
CUGGCUCAGGAUGAACGCUAGCUACAGGCUUAACACAUGCAAGUCGAGGGGCAGCAUGAUCUUAGCUUGCUAAGAUUGAUGGCGACCGGCGCACGGGUGAGUAACGCGUAUCCAACCUUCCCUAUAGUAGAGGAUAGCCCGGCGAAAGUCGGAUUAAUACUCUAUGUUUUCCAAUGCAGACAUCUAAAAUGGAACAAAGGUUUACCGCUAUAGGAUGGGGAUGCGUCUGAUUAGGUUGUUGGCGGGGUAACGGCCCACCAAGCCUUCGAUCAGUAGGGGUUCUGAGAGGAAGGUCCCCCACAUUGGAACUGAGACACGGUCCAAACUCCUACGGGAGGCAGCAGUGAGGAAUAUUGGUCAAUGGACGAAAGUCUGAACCAGCCAAGUAGCCGUGCAGGAAGACGGCCCUAUGGGUUGUAAACUGCUUUUAUACAGGGAUAAAGUUCGCCACGUGUGGCGUUUUGUAGGUACUGUAUGAAUAAGGACCGGCUAAUUCCGUGCCAGCCGCGGC